GCUAGGAAGCGUGGUGACGCCCCGAUAGGGUUUACCCAUCGAGGGAGGAAAGUCCGGACUGCUGGAAGCAGGGUGCUUGGCGAAAGCCUUGGCUCCGCUGGGCAUGGCCAACGGAGACAGUGAAGCCACAGAGACGAGUCCGCCAGCUGGCGGAGUGAAACGGCCCCGAAGCCUAUGUUUUCGGGGACUAGGGUAAUUCUCCCCGCAGCAACUUCCGAAUGAGUCGUUAUCAGGACGCUUCCCCGAGACUCAAAGUUUGAAGGCAUAGAGAGAUGUCAUCAUCCGCCAACUGGCGGAACAGAAUCCGGCUUACAGCUUCCUAGCAUUU
rnacentral:RNase_P_RNA from 2 species